AUGAACGCUGGCGGCGUGCCUAAUACAUGCAAGUCGAGCGAACGGACGAGAAGCUUGCUUCUCUGAUGUUAGCGGCGGACGGGUGAGUGACACGUGGAUAACCUACCUAUAAGACUGGGAUAACUUCGGGAAACCGGAGCUAAUACCGGAUGAUAUUUUGAACCGCAUGGUUCAAAAGUGAAAGACGGUCUUGCUGUCACUUAUAGAUGGAUCCGCGCUGCAUUAGCUAGUUGGUAAGGUAACGGCUUACCAAGGCAACGAUGCAUAGCCGACCUGAGAGGGUGGUCGGCCACACUGGAACUGAGACACGGUCCAGACUCCUACGGGAGGCAGCAGUAGGGAAUCUUCCGCAAUGGGCGAAAGCCUGACGGAGCAACGCCGCGUGAGUGAUGAAGGUCUUCGGAUCGUAAAACUCUGUUAUUAGGGAAGAACAUAUGUGUAAGUAACUGUGCACAUCUUGACGGUACCUAAUCAGAAAGCCACGGCUAACUACGUG
rnacentral:rRNA from 1 species